AGCCCAGCCCCCUGCUGGGGCAAAAGGCUGGUGUGGGCAGGGUGCCAGCAGGUGUUCCUUGGCCAGUUAAGGGCAGGCACAGCCAGGUGUGUAAGGAUCUGGUAUUGUCUCUGGAGAACUGCAGCUUUUUUCAGACACCAAAUCCUGCUCAGCUGCCUGAGGACACAGGUUUCUCUCAGCUUGUUCCAUGAACUGGCCUGUGCCUUGUCAGCUCCUGCAUGACCUUCUCCAAAUCGUGACCUGUAUCUGCAGCAGCUGCUGUCAGCUGUGCAUUGGAUACCCUGUGCUGAGAUGCUGGCUGCUUUGUAGAGGGCGCUGCCAAAACUUCCGUGAGAGCUGGAGUUUCCAUGACCCUCAGUGCUCUGUCGUUGGCACAGGAGCAAGAACUGCCUGUGACAAGCAGAGAUCACUUCGUGCCUUAGUGCUGUACCCCGGGGCUCGGCUGUGCUGCCAGCUGUGGGGACCAGCCCCGCCUCGCCAUCGCCAGGUGCUCUGGGCGGGCCUGGCCAGCAGAACUGUGCUUAGCUGCGGGAAUUCCCAGCAAACUCCAGUGUCCAAGCUACAGGGACUGGGAACUUGGGCCCGUUAAACUUGCAGAUACACCUUUCACUAGCCAGCUCUGCGGGAGAUACCUCUGUUCGUGAGGUAAUCCGGGCUGCACUCCGGGAAGAAUGCUAAAUACGUCUGAGGCCGCUUUGCCAUCGCCAUGCCCGUGCAGUGCGGUUUAGUUUAGCGCUGCCGCCGUGUCCCCGGUGCCGGCGGCCACGAGGUGUCAGCGUUACCGCGCCGAGCGGAGAGAGCCCGCGACGAACCGGGCUGAGGAUGCCUUAUCCCGGGGUACCUGCAGAUGCUGGCACGAAAUACUGCCCUGGAGAGCCCAGCCUCUCUCUCCUGUGUUGCUGUCCCAUGCUCGGUUUUGCCUGUCGAAAUCCAGUCUGGUGUUUGGACUCAACGCUCUGCCUGUUCUCUCAGUACAGACAAUACUUUGCUCCCUAAACUUUUCUACGUUUAUCAGAAUAUUAAGCACGUGCUUAAGACUCCUGGUUUUCUGAUGGGAACCUUUAGCCAAAACAAACCAUUUGCAUGGGCUAGGGAAACCACACCAUAGCUUGAGUCUUCUGGCUUGGUUUUGGGAAAAAUGCACCUUCAGGUGUCUGUGCAAAAUGUAGUAACAGCAACAUUUAGAAAACCCCUGCUCAAAUGCAUUCCUAUCUGUCGGACAGUUCUAGGGUCCAGCAGAAGAGCUCCCCUCCAGUCUAGUUCCCUGCCUGAGAACAUGAUAAAACCAGCACUUAGUAACCUGCAAGCACAAAGAAAGGUAAGAGGGGAUUUCUCUGCUCUGGGAAUUAUCUCCACGUUUGGAGCGUUUGCUUGGGAACAGUGUAGAAAGUCUCGCUAUUAUGUAUCUGAUCUGUUCUAAAAUGAGCCUUUCCCAGCAGUCCCCUGCUGUUCUGUAGGCAACGCUUGAACAUUCAGUGACACGGACUCAAUUGCCUUGGGAGAUGCUUCCAUCCUCCCCCUGAAGAACGUUCAGUGUCUCCUGAGUAUUUCCAACCCUUCAGUUUGUACAGCACUCCCCUCAUCUCUCUGUGGAGGUUUCAUGCUCAGGUCCCAGUUCCUGGACAUGCCUUUAUUAGAGAGCUUAAGCACCUUAAGCAAGGUUGUGGAUUCUAUUUAAGUGAAGAUAUCCAAGGUUUCUUUGUCAACUGUUGCCUGAACCACUUUAGGUUGUUGAGGCACAGCAGAGCAUCUGGCAAUUUAGGAUCCUAACUACAAUCAUUCAGGCUUUUCCCCUGGCUCUUCCAGCUACCUAACAAGGCUCAGGUUCUUCCUAAGCCUCACCUGGAUCUGUGCAGUUAAUAAAUAAGACCAUAUUCCUGUUGUGUCAUUACAAUGGGGUUUUUUAUAGCUGUAGCCUUUUAACUGAAGGCAGGGAGGAAGACUUCUUCCUCAAUUUUUCACCUUCCUUAUAUUGUUGUAAGGCAAGGUUCAGAGAUCUUGUAUAGUAUUUUUUAUGUUCACAUUUUAAAAUUUCUUAGCGAGGUCUUUACAGUGGGACUGCAUUCCCUCUCUUAUAUAAAACCUCUAACUACACUGGGAAAGAGUUCCUAUUGGUAUAGAUGUAGAGUUUUCUUGUAUUUUUUUCUUUUUAAUGUAAAUGAGUGCAAACAUGCUUUUAGAGGGAAGGGGAGUUCACAGGUGUUCUGUGACUAGAUCACAGUACAGUCAGGCUUCCAAACUUUCAGUAAUGUAACAGCCACCUUCAUAAUGCACUACUGAUUAUAGAAUAACAUCAAGGCUAAUACCGCAGUCAACAACUAUUUGCAAUUACACAGGUGUAAGAGAGGAGAAUCCUGAGUGUGGGAUGUCAUUGCAUGUGUCUAUGUUUUUUAUAAAAGUACAGUCCCAUGGUGCAGUGAUAAGAGCUACUGGCUGGGGAAGAAAAGUUUGGAGGUAGCUGGAUUAAUGAGCUGAUCUCCCAGCAGCAGCUCACCAGAGCUGGGCUACAUCCAUCCUUGGCUCUGGCCUGUGCUGUGGCUGUGUGCCUGUUUCAGCUAUGCCAUGCCUGGCUUUUUAAUGAGAAAAGCUUUGCUACUGCUUUCCUCAAAUAAGGUACAUGAUUUGUGUAAAUAGAAAUCAUACUGAAUAAAUGGAGAUUAUUUCUGUUUCUUUUAUUUCUUGCUAAAAUAAAAUCUCUACUAACCAGAGCUCUCCAGUGGCCUACAGUACUACUGGGGAUUCCUACUUGUAAAUAACUGGGAAAACAAACAAUACAAAAAUAAACCAGAAGAUCUGCUUCCCGAUGACAGAUGACUCUUACUAAGAUACCCCGGAGUGCCUCUUACCCUGGAUACGUCUACAGGACACAAGAAGAAAGCACUCAUAUUUUCAGUGACCUCUAAGAAGCUCUAAUAUUUUGGGAAAGGUCUUGUUGAAACAAUGAUUGAUAUUAGAGAUUAUGUAUGUUUGAUUUGCCCUAGGAGCAGGAAAUCCUUUUUAAAGCCCAGUUCCUAGAGGAUAUCUGGCUUAAAGUGCAUGAAUAGCUGCUUCUGGUAUGCAAAGAAUUACCUGUAUGUAUAUAAAGUAUGACUUGGUACCAUGUUGAAUCAGGAUCUUACUUUGCUAGAAACAAUUUUAGCCAGGAGCAUUUGCCUUCAUCUCCAGGCAUACUUACGUGAAUA